rnacentral:lncRNA from 1 species
AUGUGUCCCCGGAACCAAAUUUGUGUGGCCGAGAUACCAUAUUAUUGUGACGGACUAGUUUUAAUUCCUGUCCUCCGAGGGCGUUUCCGGUUGUCUAGCUGCGAAGGUCUCGGAAGUUCGCGAGACCGUGGGGAUCUCCAACCAGGAAGGAUGAGCGGUGCCUUAAGGAAGGUUCCAGUUGAGAGGAGAGAAUCCCAGCUGUUCUGCAGGUGAGCAACUUUUCCUUAAAUAACUAAAACUAUGCUUCUAGUCCUCCAUGCAUAAUACAAAUAAUAAUACAGAGUACAGAAUAACACAAAGCACAUGUUUUGGAAAAAUAGUUCAGAAGAUGCCCCCCACCUUCCAGAAGCAAAAUAUUAUUUUUUAAAAGCUUUAUUUUUUUUAUUCUCAACUUAAGCACCAAAAAAAGGACAUUUCCAUACACAGAGCAGAAAGCAAAAAGAGGAUUGUUCCUGGAACAGUAGCUCUCUGCCUCAUGCUGUCUGCUUCUUUCAAAAAGUGUAUGAUAAUUUCUACAUUCAGUGAGUCUUGGUAAGACUUACCACUUUUGUCUUCUAAGCUAUUUAUUCUCCUUCUAAUUCUUUCUUCUAGAACUUUUUUUCAUUUUAAAAAAAAUGGAAAUCCCUUUUUUAAAUUUUGAUUCUCUGUUUGCAGUUUUUGGAGUUGCUUUUUCCUUCUUUUAGAGGUCUCUAGGUCUACAAUAAUUUUUGAUACUGGUUGGUGUUUUCUUUGAUUUACUAAUUUCUCCAACAUUAGGUCCUGAAGUGGGUCUUUGUGCCAGGGCCAGGCUCUAUUCUGUGGGUGAGAUUUUGGCUCUGUUUAGUCUUAGCCCGGGUUCUGUGAAUGAACUCCACCUCCUAGAGUUCAACUCCACUAGAAUCUUUGGGGUUCAAAGUGGUUGAUCUUUAGGUCCCUCCAUGGUGUCUCUGGAGCCUCUGGGUCUCUAGGCUAUUCUGAUCUAAAUGCUGCCGUGUAGCACUAGUCAUUGCCACUCCAGAGGUCUUGCAAGGUCUCUAUCAUGGGGCUUUUUUAGGGGGCUGCUCUGUUCUUUCUGCUUCUAGACACAGAGCCUUACAGGCUGUGUGUCUCUGGCCUGUAUUGAUAGGCUUGUUAGCUUAUUUGCUGGGGUAUUUCUAUUGCCUGUGACUUUCUGGCUGACCUUUUGUUUAAUUCUGAGGUGGAAGGAGUCACUUACUAUAAUUUCUUGUUGGAU